GCAAGGUUAAAACUCAAAUGAAUUGACGGGGGCCCGCACAAGCGGUGGAGCAUGUGGUUUAAUUCGAUGCAACGCGAAGAACCUUACCUGGUCUUGACAUCCACAGAAGAAUCCAGAGAUGGAUUUGUGCCUUCGGGAACUGUGAGACAGGUGCUGCAUGGCUGUCGUCAGCUCGUGUUGUGAAAUGUUGGGUUAAGUCCCGCAACGAGCGCAACCCUUAUCCUUUGUUGCCAGCGGUCCGGCCGGGAACUCAAAGGAGACUGCCAGUGAUAAACUGGAGGAAGGUGGGGAUGACGUCAAGUCAUCAUGGCCCUUACGACCAGGGCUACACACGUGCUACAAUGGCGCAUACAAAGAGAAGCGACCUCGCGAGAGCAAGCGGACCUCAUAAAGUGCGUCGUAGUCCGGAUUGGAGUCUGCAACUCGACUCCAUGAAGUCGGAAUCGCUAGUAAUCGUGGAUCAGAAUGCCACGGUGAAUACGUUCCCGGGCCUUGUACACACCGCCCGUCACACCAUGGGAGUGGGUUGCAAAAGAAGUAGGUAGCUUAACCUUCGGGAGGGCGCUUACCACUUUGUGAUUCAUGACUGGGGUGAAGUCGUAACAAGGUAACCGUAGGGGAACCUGC
rnacentral:rRNA from 2 species